AUGGACUGCUGCUGCCGCGCGCGUCGCCCUGACCUGGGGCUUGCCUUCUUCGGCCGCCUCCUCAGGACGGGCCUGAGGACAGACGGCAUCGACGCAUACGCCCUCAUCAGGUGCUUUUGCCUCGCAAAACGGACAGACAAGGCUGUCAGCGUGCUGCUCCAUAGGAUGCCUGAACUCGGCUGUGCGCCUGAUGCCUUGUCAUACUCCGUCGUUCUGAAGGUCUUGUGUGACGAUGGCAGGAGCCAGCGAGCGCUUGACCUGCCCCAGAUGAUGUCGAAAGAAGGAGGUGGCUGCGCCCCCAACGUGGUGGCAUAUAGCACGGUCAUCCAUGGCUUCUGUAAGGAAGGCGAAGUAAGCAAGGCAUGCGAUCUGUUCAAUGAAAUGGAGCAUCAAGGAGUUAAACCUAAUGUGGUGACAUAUACCUCGAUAAUUGAUGCGCUGUGCAAGGCCAGAGCAAUGGACAAGGCAGAGUCGUUCCUUCGGCAGAUGGUCGAUAAUGAUGUUCGACCCAACAACGUGGCAUAUAAGUGUAUGAUC
rnacentral:rRNA from 1 species